rnacentral:rRNA from 1 species
UACAGAGGGGGCAAGCGUUGUUCGGAAUUACUGGGCGUAAAGGGCUCGUAGGCGGCCAACUAAGUCAGACGUGAAAUCCCCAGGCUCAACCUGGGAACUGCGUCUGAUACUGGAUGGCUUGAAUCCGGGAGAGGGAUGCAGAAUUCCAGGUGUAGCGGUGAAAUGCGUAGAUAUCUGGAGGAAUACCGGUGGCGAAGGCGG